rnacentral:rRNA from 1 species
UACGGAGGGGGCUAGCGUUGUUCGGAAUUACUGGGCGUAAAGCGCACGUAGGCGGAUCAGUCAGUCAGGGGUGAAAUCCCGGGGCUCAACCCCGGAACUGCCUUUGAAACUGCUGGUCUGGAGGUCGAGAGAGGCGAGUGGAAUUCCGAGUGUAGAGGUGAAAUUCGUAGAUAUUCGGAGGAACACCAGUGGCGAAGGCGGCUCGCUGGCUCGAUACUGACGCUGAGGUGCGAAAGCGUGGGGAGCAAACAGG